UGGGGAAUAUUGCACAAUGGGCGCAAGCCUGAUGCAGCCAUGCCGCGUGUGUGAAGAAGGCCUUAGGGUUGUAAAGCACUUUCAGUAAGGAGGAAAGGUUAGUAGUUAAUACCUGCUAGCUGUGACGUUACUUACAGAAGAAGCACCGGCUAACUCCGUGCCAGCAGCCGCGGUAAUACGGAGGGUGCGAGCGUUAAUCGGAAUUACUGGGCGUAAAGCGUACGCAGGCGGUUUGUUAAGCGAGAUGUGAAAGCCCCGGGCUCAACCUGGGAACUGCAUUUCGAACUGGCAAACUAGAGUAUGAUAGAGGGUGGUAGAAUUUCAGGUGUAGCGGUGAAAUGCGUAGAGAUCUGAAGGAAUACCGAUGGCGAAGGCAGCCACCUGGUCAAUGACUGACGCUCAUGUACGAAAGCGUGGGAGCAAAGCGGGAUUAGAUACCCGUCAGUCCACGCCGUAAACGAUGUCUACUAGGAGCUGGGGUCUUCGGACACUUUUCCAAAGCUAACGCAUUAAGUAGACCGCCUGGGAGUACGGCCAGCAAGGUUAAAACUCAAAUGAAUUGAC
rnacentral:rRNA from 1 species